UACGGAGGGGGCUAGCGUUGUCCGAAGUUACUGGGCGUAAAGCGUGCGUAGGCGGGUUGGUAAGUCCGCUGUGAAAGCCCGGAGCUUAACUCCGGAGGGUCGGUGGAUACUGCCAGUCUUGAAGGUGCUAGGGGGAGAUGGAAUUACCGGUGUAGCGGUGAAAUGCGUAGAUAUCGGUAGGAACACCAGUGGCGAAGGCGGUCUCCUGGGGCAUUCUUGACGCUGAGGCGCGAAAGCUGGGGGAGCAAACGGG
rnacentral:rRNA from 1 species